GGGAGAAGAUAUGUUGGAUGACUACAUGGCACUACAAAGAAGAGGUUUGCAUACACCCAGGAAAGAAAAUUCAGCACAGAUCUGCUGAUGAGCCAGCUAAUCUGCAUCCUCUUCUACACCUGACGGUGACUGCACUGGACCAUGGAAAUCCAUAUCCCGGGGGAUGGAGAAGGAACAGACAGGCUGGAUACUCCUGCAGCAUCCUGCCUAUGGGGAGUGCUGUGAAAAAGAGCCGCGAUUCCUGACCGGCAGCACCAAGCUCAUAGAGGGAAUCAUCCAAUGCACCGCUGCUUAGUUCUGAGGGUGCCGAACACUCUGGCUUGCUGCAAGCAGGGAGGAAAAGCAUCUCUUACAAGAGCAAGAAAAACCCCCGCAGUGCAAUCACAGAGUUGCUGUAUGACUUUGGAUCAAGCAUUGUUUUGUUCCAAAUGUCAAAUUCUGGGUGCCUGUGUUCAAUCCAGAGAGGAGGUAGCUUGAAAACCAUCCUUCUGUCACUGAAUUUCCAAAUCACAGAGUAAAAAGCAAGCGGAAGGAGCUCUGCCAUGAGGUUUGCCAACUCCUUCUAUUGCAGCAGCAGGCCAGCAGUUCUCACAUUAAUCCACUGCCCCCAGCCCAGUUAGGUGCUUAUGAGUUAGGUUUUCCUGCAGAGAAGGGAGCAAGCAAUUAAUCUCUUUAUUAAGAAUGGGUGGAAGGAGAGAUUUCAGUGUACAUCUGUUUGAAUGAACCCCAAACUUUGGGGUACCAGCCCCCCCUGACACUCACACAGCAUUCCUCUCAAUUGGAUAAUUUUAGACCUUUGCAUACCUGCUAAUAUCCUCUGCAAAACAAGGUGGGGGAAAAGUAGAUUGCAAAUUUGCAUACAUUUGCACAUAUUUGCAUACAUUGCAGCACAUUCCCUCAGACGAACAUGCCCUCCCAUUAGGAGGGGAUUGUCCACCAAACUCUAAUGGGAAAAUGCUACCAC